rnacentral:lncRNA from 1 species
CUUUUGGUUUAAAUAACCAUCAGUUAAAAUAUGACAAGUUUUUCUGUUAUCAUAUUUAUAGUCAUAUUAAUGGAAAUUCACUUUUUUACAGAAUUAUAUUGAUUUUGCAAGUUCCUAAAAGGCUCUUGGAAAGACGAGUAAUGGAAUGGAUGGAUACAUUGCCUUGUAGAUCAAUCAGUGAGAAUUUCAUGGAUUGUAAAGUGAGGACUAAUGUACCGAGCUCAUAAAAUUAUAUGAAGAGCCCUUGUGGACCCAUUCUGUUGAGGUGGGAGUGAAAAUAUGAGCAUGAAAACUGAAUAUUAUCUUGAGACUCUUUCCACGUGGCUCACUGCUUGUUCCAGGAUCAGACAAUUUCCAGGGGUUAUUGGAUUAAUCCAACUUGGAGUCAGGAUAUUUCAGACAAUGACUAAAGUGUGAGGUAGAAAAAUGCAUCAAGCAUAAAAUGGAGAAGACUAAAGUAAAUUAAAAUAAUGGAGAUAAACCCAGAAAUAUGGAUUUGGAGCAGUCAUGGGGACCCAUGAGCUUCAAUGGUGAGUAAAGUUUAAUACAACUGAAGUUUUCUCCAUGGGAAGGUUGCUUUAUCAUCUUUGUGCUUUAGUAAUAAUUUAGUAAACAUGUGUAAAAUCAAAUCAAAUAUAGAUAUACUGAAAAUAGGGAAUAUAAUUAGGAAGAUAUUUCCAUAGCCCCAUCAAAUAUGUGAAAAAAAAUUAAAUAUAUAAUAAAAUUGACACAACACACUAGAGUGGCAUGGGUAACAGUGAAGAAAAAACAUUCUGAGUGUUCUUGUCUCAGGGUCUGAGAAGUGCCAAUUUAGAAAUGGGAACACUGGAGAUUAUUGGAUUUGAUAGAUUUUAAAAGAAAAUGAUGGGCAGCCUGGGUGGCUCAGCGGUUUAGCGCUGCCUUGGGCCCAGGGCCUGAUCCUGGAGACCAGGGAUCGAGUCCCGCGUCGGACUUCCUGCAUGGAGCCUGCUUCUCCCUCUGCCUGUGUCUCUCAUGAAUAAAUAAAUAAAAUCUUUGAAAAAAUUAAAAAAUAAAAGAAAAUGAUGAAUUUAUGUUGGAGAUUGGCAGUUGGAGGUAACAGUGUGCUAUACAUGGAAAAGUUCCCUCUCAAGAGGUUAGAGAAAAGUUAGUGUGCGAAAUAUAGAUCACUUUUAUGAAUGUAGUGAUUGGAGGAGAUCCUCCUUGUGAAACAGUAGUAAGAAAAAGGAAAAUGGUAAUAUGAUAUUAGGGGAAUCUCAUUUAUAGAUCAGCAAGAGAAAUAUAAUCCAGAGAAACAAACUGAGGGUGAGAAUUCAGAAGCACUUCAAGAAACUGCCUUGACUCCAACUAGUCUGCCUGGAGCCUUUGAUGGCAGUUGCCCAGGUAUAAUUGAACUACAGUGAAUUGACCUGGACUUUACUUCAGACUUGAAUUCCUCAACCUAAUGUCACUCACAUUAUAUAAUGGGAUAUGGAUAAUGAGGUGCCUCCAAAGAACUUCGAGAUAAUAGAAACAUGUUUGCUUUUUAGAGUAAAGCAAAACAAAAAUCAACAUAUUGAGAAUGGAAAGUAUAUUCUUUAGAUCUAUUUAGAAAAAUGUAGUUAAAGGAUAAAUGGAUUGGCUUGUACAGAGAAGGUCCUUUUAGAGAGGCAGAUUUUGUAUUUUCCAGCUCCGGUGUUGUCCAGGAUAGAGAUGCAACA